rnacentral:rRNA from 1 species
UAGGGAAUCUUCCGCAAUGGGCGAAAGCCUGACGGAGCAACGCCGCGUGAGUGAUGAAGGUCUUCGGAUCGUAAAACUCUGUUAUUAGGGAAGAACAAAUGUGUAAGUAACUAUGCACGUCUUGACGGUACCUAAUCAGAAAGCCACGGCUAACUACGUGCCAGCAGCCGCGGUAAUACGUAGGUGGCAAGCGUUAUCCGGAAUUAUUGGGCGUAAAGCGCGCGUAGGCGGUUUUUUAAGUCUGAUGUGAAAGCCCACGGCUCAACCGUGGAGGGUCAUUGGAAACUGGAAAACUUGAGUGCAGAAGAGGAAAGUGGAAUUCCAUGUGUAGCAGUGAAAUGCGCAGAGAUAUGGAGGAACACCAGUGGCGAAGGCGACUUUCUGGUCUGUAACUGACGCUGAUGUGCAAAAGCGUGGGGAUCAAACAGG